CUCUCGUAUCAUGAAGUUGUUGACUGCUCUGCGGCUAGAUAAACCAAGUGUCCUCAGCCUCUCCUCAGGCGAAGUACCCUCUGGCCCUUUUAUCCGCUUUGCUGCCUACCUCUGCGCACUUUCAAGGAGCCAAACAUCAUUUUUAAUUGUGGAUUCCAGAACUGCAUGCAGUAUUCAAGGGCCAGAGUAAUCCCAAGAAAACAGAAGAUACUCUGAAAACACAGAUGUUAUUCAGUCCACUGGAAAUCAUCUCCCCAAGAGAUCUAUACUUCACCUCAGUAAGGUUGAGUUAGCCUUCAAAAAUACACAGAAGGAAAUAAAAGCCUCAGAGAGGUAGCAAAUCCAGCUAAGCCACAAAUGAGUCAACAUGUCCGUUAAGAUGCAUUGACUUUCCAUCCAUUUACAUUUAGAGACGAGGGGAACAAAAAAGACCUUUCAGUCCAGCUCUGUGUUCUGAGAUUUUGUGUCAGCAGCAUGUGGAAUUUCCUUCGGUCACUUAAUGUCAUCAUAUCGUAUAGGCAACAGCACUCGGGACAGCACAGCAGCGCUGCUUUAUGGCUGCAGGGCCACCAGUUGAAAAUUCAUCUGAAACGUGACUUCAGCAGUGCAAAUGCUCAACUUGUUGUUACGGUGUCCUAGGAAGAUCUGGUACCAAGAGAAGAACAUAUGAAGCAGAACUGCUUUCCCUUCUUUUCCUCCCUGCAAGAUGCUGAGUGAAGAGGUAAGUACAAAUUUUUCUUAUCAGUGUUGCUGCAAGCUUUAUGUAUUUGGAUGAUGUGUAGCUGUUGGUGAGGAUUAUAUUCUGUCUCUGAACAGAAUGCUUUGGGAUAAAAAAAAAAAUCUGAUAAAUUAGGAAACAAAUGUGAGAAAUUCAAAUUUAAAAACUUAUCUGCAUGAGAUAAACUUUCAUUGAGAAUUGUUUCUAAGUCUGAAAUAGAACAAAUACUGCAUCUUUUUGCUAGGAGUCUUCAGGGUUAGGAAUGGUUGCUUCCAUCCAUACAUACAGUAAGAAUCUUUAAUUACAUCUUUUCACUUUCUGAGGAUUUGGAUAUAAGUAAAUGACAGUGGAAAGAGCGUGUUUCACACAUUCUGUGACUGAACUGGUUUUCUCCACAGGAGAAAAAAACAAUAGUUUUAAACAUGAAGGGUUUUAUUUUUAGCAUUCACACUAAAUGUGAAAUUUAGAAUGGGAUAUAAGUUUUUUAUUAAAGGCUACUUACAAUUUCUUUUUAGUCUGUCAAGAGAAUUCAGAGGAAAAUAUUGAGGCCUAGUCUUUUGAAUGGAUUUCAGGAUUUUUCACUCUUAUCCAUGCAAGAAUUAUACCUUUUUUAUAAGUUUUAACUUAGAGAAUGGUCUUUAAUGUCUAGUCUAAGCUAUUCAUCCAAUCUACUGCUUAAAUUAAGAGGAAAAGAUUCCUCAGUAACAAUUGUUCCAAGCCACUUUAAGGGCCCUUGCCUUGUUUUCUCCAUUGAAAGAAGAAGCUGUAUCAUAGAUUACAUGAACAUAAUCUUUUUAGGAGGCUGCAGUCUGAUUAGAUAAUUCUUGUUCUAAAUUACAACUGAAACCAGGGAAGCAGAGUUUGUAUUACAUAAUUUUAAUCACCUAUAAGCAAGAUGUCUAAGCCAAGAUGACCUCUUAGGUCCCCUUUUUAGUCAGUGGACAAAGGCUGAUAUCUUCAGAGAUCUGACAGGUGAUACUGACUCUGACCAUGAAUGGUGAUUAUUAUGUGAUUUACUCUAUGAAACCUUUCUGUUAAUUUGGAAAUAAGAAGAGCCUUGUAAUGUCUCACAGAUGGAGCCAUAACAUUUCCUAGCCUUGAGAUAUAAUGAACCAAUUGUGUACUAUGCUGCCUGGACUUUAUUCUUGGUCAGGAAAAAUAGAUGAAAAAGCACAGAGAUUAAAGACUUUUUUUUCCCUUUCCAUAGUCAUUGAAAAUGCAAAAGAUCACAAGUGAAAGUUAAACUACAGAGCUGAUCCCUAGGAAUCAGAAAUGAAAGGCUGUUUCCUUUCUUCUGUCCUAAAGAAGCUUAGACGAUUUAGGAAAACAAUCUAGUACCAUUUGCACCACAAAGUAGUUAAGUGAAAAGCUGUUAUGAAAAAAACGCAGUUUUGUAUGUGGAUGUUGUUGAUGUAUGUCCUUCAUUCUCAAGGAUUAUUAGUGAGUUUUGAUCAGAACUUUUUGGUUGAGUUAUUUAAAUUUAUGUUUCCUUACAGUUUUGAGUAAUAUUUGCCAUCCUAAAUGAACUCUUUGUGUCAGAAAAUUGUGAUGACGUACAGUGCCAAGAUAGCUUUCUAUUCCAUAAAAAGUAGUUGUAAAUAAGGUAGGACCAAGAGACAAUCAAAACUGAAUUUCUGAAUGAUCUCCUUAUCCUAAGGAACUUAUCCCAGUUAUAAUUAUGCCUACUGUAAAGCAAAACAGAGUAAAUUUCACCAUCAGAGGACAUUGUUUUCUCACUGAUCUCAUUUCCACUGUUCUUUUCUGUAGACAUAUUUUAGGAAGAGAAGGUGCAAUACAUCUCAGAUAUAUUUCUUCAAUUUCAACCGCUGUUGAUCUAUAAGUACCAAAUAUUUCUUCCAGUGUUUUUUAGGUGUUAGGGAUCCCUUGACAUAGAACAGUGUGUGGCUGGCAUUGAGGUAAAGUAGGGUGAAUGUAAAAAGUGGACAACUCUGUUUUACAUUUCUUUUCAGUUAUUGUAAAUGUAUGUCUCAAUGUAAGAUAUAUAUAUUUAUUUUAUUUUAUUUUUCAUUUUUAAGGGGGGGGAUGCUGAGGGAGAUUAUUAAGUUUGAUCUCAUUUCAAGCAUAACAAGUAAUACAAAAGCCUUUCAGGGGAAAAGCAUGUACAUGCCAUGAACUGGAAAUGAAUGUUUUUUUUCUGAUUCAGUGACAAUCCAUUUCCAUGUUUAUAGAUUUGCUGCUAUAAACGAUGUCUUCUGAAAGGUUAUUUUUAAAAUGUAAUCUGUUAUCUUAAGUUGGAAACAUGUUACAUUGUUUUUUGAUCUUACACAUAGACAAAAAAGAAAUUGUCAAGGUAAGGGUAAGAAUUGGAAGGUGAGAAUACUUUUUCAUAGGGUGCUGCAUUUUCUUAGAAUUCUGUGUAGCUAGUGAUGACAGGAGAUUCAAAGUCUCAUUAUCUUCUGAAUUUUUUUCAUUCCAUUUCUUCUGAAUAUUGUAAGGUACAUUUAUUAACUCAGAGAGCUUGCCUGUCUUUGGAGGUCAGUUUUUCAAUAUAGCAUGAAGCUGCAGAUUUGGCUAAAGUCAGAGAAGGUGAUAAACACUAACAAGAAAGUUGCCACUCUCAUUCUAGUUAGGUGUUGUGGGUUUUUUUUUUUUUUUUAUUGCUUGUUUCUUUUUUUUUUUUAAUUUUGUUUGGUUUGGUUGUGUUUAUUUGUUUGUUUCUUUGUUUGUUUUUUGUACUAUGCAGAGUUGAAAGACCAGAAAUAUCACAAAGCUUAACUUUCUACAGCUGAAUGUCCCGUUUCUGUGCUGUCAUGGAUGUCUAUAUGAAAGGGUCUUAUAGGGCCCCUCAAAGUCAUAGAAUAACAGUGCACUGGAGAGAUUUGGAGCUCUGAAAUUACUGUCAUUUUACCAACUCUUUACUUAACAAAUACAAGGCCAUUUGUGGCACAGCAGAAAGUUCUCUUAUAAUUGACUACAUUUAGUCUAGCCUGAGAAAAUCCAAAUCCACCUGUAUAAAUUCAUGGAAUAUCCUAAAUAAAGUGUUUACAGGCAAAAUAAAUGGCUUGCAAAAUUAGAGUGUAUGUGCAUGAUGCUAUAAAUGCUCAUGGUUUUUCAUAUUAUUUAAUAAAGCUGUUAAGUCUAAUUUACUUGAUGUAGACCACUGGUAAUGAUAAGUUAAUGUUACAUUUUUUUGGAAUUAGAAUAUGAAGUGCUCCAUUCCAGUUGAAAGAAAAAAUGAAAAAACUGUUAAAUUUGUCAUUGAGUGAUAUACUCAUUAUUAAAUCCUACUAUCUAUAAAGUGUUAAGUCAAAUGUGCCUUUAGGAAUAAAUUAUUUCAUCAAUAAAACUCUGCCUCCUUAUAGCAACACUAUGUCUAAUAAUGAGUUAAAGCUUUACCCUACUGUGCUUUCUAAUGUAAUGAAUGUGCUUCUUCAUCAUAUUUAUGCAUAAUAACUCCCUUUCUGUGUCUUUCUGGGUAAGGAUUUUGCUAGCACUGCAUUGCAGGGUAGGAAGGAUGUUGUCUUUUAGUUAUGAAGUGAAAUGUCUGACUGAAGUGUUCUUUUUGCUGCAUAUACACAGACACAUCAACUUCUUUAAGACAGAGUAGAAACAUUACACAUACACUAGCAACAUUGAAUCACAUGGAGAAUAAAUUUGGACUAGUCAUUCUUGAAAGAGCUAACAGGAGCUUUACUGUAUUUUUCUGAGGAAUUUUGCUCCUUUCUACCUAUAGUCAGGACUUGAUCUUCCACCUCCAUAAACCUGCUGAAGGUUUUGGAAUGUCUGUGGCAGGCCUCACCUCAGCUUGUUUCAUCCAACUGUUUCCUAAACGAGAUUUUAUAAUUCAGCUCCACACUAAAAAUGACAAAAUUAUCGAAGCAGACAGAGCUAUGUGAAACAUGCAAGAGAAACUAAUUCAUUUUUGUCUGUCAAAUAUUUUGAUAUUCUGAAGCCAUCCUAUCAUAACCUGAUUGCAUAGUGCUUGUUGUUGGUUUAUUGUUUAUUUGUUUUGCUUUGGGUUUAUUUCAGAACUGUUUUAGGAACAUACCAUGAUGGUAGUUUAUCACCAGAGUAAAGAAGUUGCCUGUUAGGAAUACAUUUACAAAAUUGGUUUUGAAAAAUGCAAGUCUGUGAAGCCAGAGUCCUACACUUUGCCAGCCUACGUAGAGUUUAGUUUAUCAGUGAUGAAAGGAUUAUUGUAAACAAUAGAAACUGUCGUGGAAAUCACACUUCACAAAAUUGUUGCCAACUUGAAACUGUGGUUUGAAGAUUGAAGACCAUUCAGCUCUUUCGUUACUCAACUCAACUCAAAAUUACAUAUUAAUGAAAGUGCAGUUUUCUAUUAUGGUAUAAAAAUAGAGCUGUUUCAUAAAUUUCUGCACCAUUUUAGUUAGUAUUGUUCUGCAUUAUAAAUGUAACUAAGAUGCCCUUAAUAGCAACAAAUUUGCUGAAGACAUCCAUUCAGCUGAUAAAAUAUUUCUUGUAGGAAAAAAAAACCAAACAAUUUUCAAGACAUGUAACUACAUAUGGUGGACUUUCUAAACUUUUUCUUUAAAAUAUGAUGGUAUUACUCCUAUUUUUUCUGUUAGAUUAGAGAUAACAGAAAAACAUCAGAACAACCGUUUGAACGCCUAACCAAAACUGCUAGCAGAAAAGAAAGAAACAAAGUUUUCUUAAUGGCGUCUUUUAUCAUUCUCUUGAAAUCUGUGUUGUAUCAUUUUUAUUAGCUGGUUGUACCUAAUCUUUCAGGUGCUCACUGUAGGGUUAAUUUUUUACUGGGAGGAUUCUGUAAUACUUGCACACAUGGAAUGUUUUCCCAUAUAAAAAUAGACUCUGAUCUGCUGAUCCAAAUUAUUCCCCUCUAUGCAUGUAGCAUUCCAAUGAUGUUAAUGGAAUUGCUCAAGUAAAGGCUGCUCAUGGGGCACCUGGGAACACUAGUCUGUAUUUUGUGGGGAGAUUAAAAAUAUCACUUUGUCAGUAUUGCUUAAUAUGUAAAACAUGUUAUGCAAAACCCAGUGCUCAGGGGAACAACAUAAAUUUCACUUUUAUAUUCCCAUUAUGCCAGGAGCUUUGCCAACUCAUAAGCAAAAAUAUGUUCUUCUGUGCUCUUUGAAUAUAAAACAGGCAGCAUACUUGGGAAAAAAAAAAGCAUCUCUGGAGUUGUGUGACCUACUGAUUUGAGUGUUUAUUUUGGGAAAGAAUUCCUCAAAGGAAAAAAUUUCCUCCUUUUGUGUUAGGAUCUUCAUCAGACCUUAACUUAUCUAAGAGUCUUUUGCAUUCUUAUCUGGUGGUUUAUUUAGUUUUCCCUACCCACUCUAGAUUUCUGAGACAAUAUUCAGAGAUGAUAUAUCAUGUAAUUUUUCUCCAGUGACAUUUUCAUAAUCAAAAAAUAGGUCACUAUGAAUUGAUUAGCAAGAAAGAGAACUAUGAAUUGAUUAGCAAGAAAGAGAGAAGUAAAACUUGGAAAAAAAUCUAGAUAUUAAUAUUUGCCAACUCUUUCAUCUUCUUAAUGUGUUAAAAAUAUGUAAAGAGACAUACUUCUUCAAAUGUAUAUGGAGAUUAUUAUCAACAGAUGUGCUCAAGCUCAAUUUAAGAAUUUGUUGAAAGAAAUGAGAAUCUUUUUUUUUUUUUUUUUGUGAGUCAUUUUUUGGAUAAUUAUUAUUUUGAAUCCAGGUUUAUGAACUUUGGCUCUUCACAUAGUCAUCAUCAGUCAGGAACAUUCUAUAGCAGAAGAACUAUAAAUACAGAUAUGAAAAUCAACAUUACUACUGUCUAAUCUGAAUAUGUUUCCUCUUACACAGAUUUCAUUUUCUUUCAACUCUAAAAUUUGUGGAACAAUGUAAGGCAUUAUGCAGAUUAUGGAAGAUCCAGAGAAACUGCACUGGAUUAGUUUUAACUUGGGUUUUCCAUGCAGUAUGCAAGACUACAGCUGUUCAGUUGUACAGUCAUGUGUAAAACACCACUUCUCAGUGACAUUACAUCUAAUAUUUAUUUACUAGUCAGAAUGGAAACACUGAUUCCUACUUUACAGCUCUUGCAAACUACUUAUAUACAGCAUCAGAUUAUUUAUUCCAGUGUGGACCAGCACCAUGAAUCUGGGUAGAUAUGGCUUGUCUUGUCAGUGUCCUCUGGGGCUGGAUAAUGGCCCAGCCUCUACAUGUGCUGGUUCCACCGCAAGUUUAGCUUUCAGUAUGACACAUCACAUCAUCAUCAAAUUAUUCGUAUUACAAACUAUCUUCCUUUUCAUACCAUCUGACACAUUUCUUCCCUCCAUUUAUUUUCAGAUCUGAUUAAAAAAAAAUAAUAAUAAAUUUAAAAGAAACAGAAACACAUCCAGAGACACAUUUCAAAUUGUCAACUGUUUGUUUCAUGCCAGGCUUUUCAGAUAUGUUUAACCCGUAUUGGGAUACUGAGUGAUGCAGUAAUUGUAUUGUCACAACAUGUUUUGAUGAAAAGAAAACUAAGUAUGAUAACUUCAAAGCAGUAAGGGCUGCUACAUCACUAACAUAGGGCAGUUUUUGGUGUGAUAAAAACUUAAAAUUGUGUUUGGUCCCCUCUUGGUAAAUUCCUGUAUGCAGACAUACAAAUACACCAUUUUUUUCCACUAUGCAGCUGCAGUCUCUUGUUGAGGAAUUCAAGAUCCUGUAAACCCUCUUACUUGCAGCUCCAUUUAGUAGUUUCCUGUUUCUUUGUUAUCCAGAACAGUUUGUCUUGUGUGCCCUGUGGAUACUUUCACCUUUACUUCUGGAGUCAGACUUUGGUAAAUAUUAUAGGCAUAUUAGUGUAAUUAACACAGUAUUUUUGCAUACAAUGCUGUUUAUUA
rnacentral:lncRNA from 1 species